GAUAUCACAUUGUACUGUUUCAGAUUAAACAUAAUAAUUGAACCAGAGUUUUAGAUAGUGGCAUGAAGUAAUGCAAAAUGAACACAUCACUCACUAAAAUCUACAGUCAUUUUUUCCUUCACUAUUUCUUUUCAGUCUUUCUGCCAGUAACAGAUCUGCUCUGUUGGCAGAGGCUUUUGUCACUGGCACUCCGAGGCAGAUGUGACCCUGUGUAUGUGUGUGUAGGACUUCAUCAGGGUGACGCUGCCGUGGUGCGACACUCCCAUAGGCAGCAAUGGCACAGCUUGCCCUCUCCCCCAGACGGGUCACAAGGGACCAGGAGUCGGACAGAGCCACUACACUCCUAGACGAUGGAUCAGCCUGCCGGAGGAGCUGAGAGGGGGUUGGAUAUAUUGAGACUUUUAAACAUAAACUAAAAACUUUUAUAUUCAGUCUGGCUUUUAUGUAGGGUUUAACAAUGUUAUUGCUUUAAUGUUUUACAUUGAUUAUAAUGUUAUUUUGAUAAAUUUUAACUAUCAGUUUUUUAUUAUUAAUUUACUAGAUUUGUAUUGAUAUUUUUAGCCUUUUUUCUAUCUUAAAC